rnacentral:rRNA from 1 species
UACAGAGGGUGCAAGCGUUGUUCGGAAUUAUUGGGCGUAAAGCGCGUGUAGGCGGCUUUGCAAGUCGGGUGUGAAAGCCCUCGGCUCAACCGAGGAAGUGCGCCCGAAACUGCAGAGCUUGAGUACCGGAGAGGAUGGCGGAAUUCCCCAAGUAGAGGUGAAAUUCGUAGAUAUGGGGAGGAACACCGGUGGCGAAGGCGGCCAUCUGGACGGAUACUGACGCUGAGACGCGAAAGCGUGGGGGAGCAAACAGG